CUUUUGUGAUUAGCUUAUUUCACUUAGCAAAUGUUUCCCAGGUUUGUCCAUGAUGUAGUUUAUGUCAGAAUUUCCAUCUUUUUUAAGGCUGAAUAACACUCCAUGCCAUACAAAUAAUGACUGGUCUGAAUAUUCACUUUGUGGGACUGCUCUGGACUUAUUUGUUACUCUCACAAAUUUCUGCAUUUGGAAAACCAUAUCUUCCUCUCUCAACAGUAACAAGAUACCCAUAUUGGUCAUCUACAUGUUUUAUCUUCUCAGGAAUCUUUGCAAUAAUGAUAGAGAAGAGGCGUUCACCACUCUUGCUAUCCUAUGCUAUAAUAGUGAACAUUUUAAGUGCCUGCAUUGCAGUGAUUGGUCUGAUUUUACUAUCACUUGAGUUUAUAAUAUAUAGUUUGAGUACAAAAACUCCUAUUUGGCCAGAGAGAAGUGGUAAAAUGCUUUCAGAAUACUUGUUCCUAUUCACCUUCUUGGAGUUGUUUUUGACGUGUACAGUGAUCCAUUGGGGAUACAAAGCAAAAUAUCACAGAUAAUAAAGAUGUGGUACAUGGCAGAAGGGGAUCUUUUUCCUACAUAUUAAAGAACCAUUAUGACCUCAGUCAAGGAGGAAAGUUUAGUGAUGAAUGAAGAACUUCAUUUCGUUCAAGAGGCUUCUUGGAAAAUGCAUUUUAAUUAAGUCCACCUCAGUAUUUCAUUUCCCCCAUUUCAUUAAUAAAAAAUUUAAAUUGAUAAAUA